AUUGAACGCUGGCGGCAGGCCUAACACAUGCAAGUCGAACGAGUGGCGGACGGGUGGGUAAUGUCUCUGAAACUGCCCGAUGGAGGGGGAUAACUACUGGAAACGGUAGCCAAUACCGCCUACCAUCGGAUGUGCCCAGAUGGAAUUAGCUUGUAGGUGGGGUAACGGCUCACGUAGGCGACGAUCCCUAGCUGGUCUGAGAGGAUGACCAGCAACACUGGAACUGAGACACGGUCCAGACUCCUACGGGAGGCAGCAGUGGGGAAUAUUGCACAAUGGGCGAAAGCCUGAUGAAGCCAUGCCGCGUGUAUGAAGAAGGCCUUCGGGUUGUAAAGUACUUUCAGCGAGGAGGCGUUACUAGCAGAAGAAGCACCGGCUAACUCCGUGCCAGCAGCCGCGGUAAUAC
rnacentral:rRNA from 1 species